rnacentral:tRNA from 1 species
AUUAGAGUGGCAGAGGCCGGUAAUUGCAAAAGAUCUAAGACCUUUAUGCCAGAGGUUCAAAUCCCCCCCCUAAUU